GUUUAGGCCUACGUGUGUUAAACUAAGUGAGCUACACACUUUGAUUCUCUUGCCAGAUUUUUUUCUCGCACAAACUAAAUCUAGAUCUAGCUACGGACAGACCGUGAUUACUCCACUGUAGUGAUGGUGUUUUUAUUUUUGUCAGUUUAAGUCAUGAUUUUAUUUAAAAGCAAUACGAGUCAACACGCAAGAGCACGUACACAUAAUACAAUUCUUCGGUGUAUGUCUAGAUCUAGAUUAUUAUUGAUUAGGCCUAUAUAAAGAUUUCAAUUUGCAUUGUGAGAGCCAGGACAGAUCACCAAAGACAGUCACCAAAGCAAGAAUAAGUCAUCUAUAGGCUUACUGGAUGAACUAUAUCUAGAGAUCCAGAUUUAGACCAUUCAUUACUCAAAUGACUUUUCAACUUUUAAACACAGUAUAUAUUUCAUACGUUCACUGAUUGGUUUCAUGACUUAAAAGAAGUUUUUCACUUUUUUACAAGUAGCUUUGAAUGUUUUGAAAGAAUUUCCAAGGAAUCACAAUUUAUCUUGCAUCACUGUUGAGUUGCCCUUUCUCUGAGGAUGAAUUUAAUUUGAAUACAUUUUGUCAAGGAUCUAACAAUUUAGCAAGCAGGGAUCUGGCUUCAAUUUAAUGAAUUUGUGUUAUUGACUUCAAGUCUUGACAGAACAAUGGCAGAUCAUUUCUUAGUUUCUAAAUUCAAGUUCCUGAUUCUUCAUCAAAUGUCAGACAGAAAUCUCUGAAGAUAGUUUUACAAGAGUAUCACAGUUCAAUUUAUCACAUUCCAUGUUAUUGGUAUGAAGCCUCAAUAUGUCUCAAGAGAACUGUACAUUCAAAGAAACUUUAUUUCUACACACAAGAUAUCAGCCCUGACCGCACUUCAAACUUUGUUUCAACUAUUGUAUUGUUUAAAUCUUCACCACCACUAUUAUUUUGACCUAUGUAGUCAUCUAGUCUGUUAUAUCUCUACAUGGACAUAUCUAAGUUAUCAUAGCUACUUUAAAAAACGAAUUGUCAGCAUGUAAAACAAUAGUUUAUGUUCAACUCAUAUCCUGUAUAAUCUCAACUCUUAGAGUUGAACUGUCCAUUAGUUAAAAAUAGUUGUCACACCAUUUUUGUGCUAGGAUUUCUUGUAUGCUAUAGAAUAUGCAAGUAAUACCUAACUAGUCAAUACACACGUUUGGAUUUCUUGUAAAAUAUAGAUUCCAUGCAGCAAGUUACAACCAGCUUUUACACAUCUUCAGUCAGUUCUCCUCUACUACUUUCUGGAGUUUCAGUUUAUGCAUACAUGUUUAUUGCUAUAUUUUGUAAACAUAAUGGUGUAACUCAAUCUCUUUGAGUACAGACUUGAAAAAUGAAGUGCUUUAUAUAGAUUUUUAAACUUA
rnacentral:sRNA from 1 species